UUUGCGCGAACUUCUCUUGGUGGUAACCAGCGGGCUGUUCAUCUCCACAUCGAGCGAUAACGGCUCGCCCCCCCUAAAGACGGGAUGAACAUAUGCAUCUUGCAGAUGCAGUGUAGCAGCUGUAGUACAGGCAGUGGAUUUUACAGACAAAAAAGGCGGUCUAACUGAAGAAAAUUUAAGCUGAUAGUGAGACUACACGUUACUGACCUGCAACGGGAACUUGACAAAUGCAGACUCGAAUCUCCCCUUGCAGAAAUGAUUGAACCAGAUUGUCAUAAUCGGGAGAACCAGGAUGACAGGCGUCGAUCUGGGAAUUUCUUUCGUGUUUAUCAGCCCCAUCAGCAGAACCUGGGAGGUUAUCAACCCAAUGAUGAUCCGACGAUGCACAUCUGGCCAAAAAGCUGCAGCGCUCUCGUACUUCUGAUCAUACACAUUGAUGAUCUUGCAACAGAAACUAUCAAUUAGUCCCCUCUCCCUGCAGAAACUAUCAAUUCGUCGCUUCAGAAAGCGAUAGCAAGCAAGCAAGCAUACCUGAUGGCGAAAAACGAGAUACGCAAAGGCAAAGAAAACAAUGAUGAAUGGGAGGAGCACAGGAGUGACUACAGAAUACACAAGUCCGAGCAGGAAAUAGAGCUGUAUACGAGGCUCUGAUACCGC